rnacentral:rRNA from 1 species
GACGAACGCUGGCGGCGUGCUUAACACAUGCAAGUCGAACGGAAAGGCCCUGCUUUUGUGGGGUGCUCGAGCGGCGAACGGGUGAGUAACACGUGAGUAACCUGCCCUUGACUUUGGGAUAACUUCAGGAAACUGGGGCUAAUACCGGAUAGGAGCUCCUGCUGCAUGGUGGGGGUUGGAAAGUUUCGGCGGUUGGGGAUGGACUCGCGGCUUAUCAGCUUGUUGGUGGGGUAGUGGCUUACCAAGGCUUUGACGGGUAGCCGGCCUGAGAGGGUGACCGGCCACAUUGGGACUGAGAUACGGCCCAGACUCCUACGGGAGGCAGCAGUGGGGAAUAUUGCACAAUGGGCGGAAGCCUGAUGCAGCAACGCCGCGUGCGGGAUGACGGCCUUCGGGUUGUAAACCGCUUUCGCCUGUGACGAAGCGUGAGUGACGGUAAUGGGUAAAGAAGCACCGGCUAACUACGUGC